AAACACUAAUUGCAGAUGAAGACCAGCUGCAGAGAGGAGAGGGGAUUGGUUUAUAAAAAAGAGGAAGUCUACAGUAGCAGGAGGCUGUAGGCAGAAGGUCUGUACUUAUUCUCUAGAAACAAAAAGCUCUAUGGGAAGGAUAAGCCCUGGAAGAAUGGUCAACCCUACAGGAGUUAUGGAGGAAGAAAGUUUGAGAAGGUAGGAUAGGAAGAAGCCCUGGGAAACGGCAAUAAGGAAGGGAACUGUGAAGAUCUUGGCUGCUGGGUUUUGUGUCCCUGGGUUAGAACCCAGGGUAGAGGGAGUGUCUGGGGUUCUCUACCAGCCACUGGAAAGUAGUACAGGAGUGCUGGACAAGGUGGGGCCUCUAAUGAGUUUCUGACACCCCAGAAGGUGGACUAUACAGUGACCCAGCUGGUGGGCUGAAUCAUGAAGGAAGAGCAUUGUGAAUUAUGGGAAGAGAGACCAUCACAGAAACAGAGUGACCAUCGGCAGGGGACACCAAAGGAGACAUGAGCUGCUAUAUCAUGCCUGGCCAGGAAGAGGCACUUUUGCAGCUCUAGCAGCAGAGGAUGCAGCUGAAUGGUGAAGAUUCUCCAGUCUCUCCCACCCCCAGAUGGAAGUGCUGACAUCAAAGUCUGCUCCAGACUUCCCAUGGACCAAGUCCUUAGCCCAGAGUUCCACAGUGUCCAGCUGAAGUAUUUGGACUGGACAAUAGUCACAAGAUUUAUUUGUGUGUGUGGAGAUGCAUUUAAUUAUCUCUGGAUACUGUGCUUGUGUUUCUAGGAAGCAUUAUAAUCUCUGCCUUGUCUGUAACUAUUGUAUGUAACUCAUCUGUUAUGUUAGUUUGUAGCCAAAGAGGAAUAUUGUGGGUUUUUUGUUUAUUUUUUAUUUCUUGAAAUUCUGUUUAGUGAGUAGGCAAUAGUGCUAGAUUGCAGUGGUCACCGUUAAAAAAUAAACAUUUAUUUCAGAUUA